ensembl:lncRNA
AAGUGUAAAGUUAUGAUGUUGACUGACUGUUGUGAGGUGUGACGUGUGCAGUUUAAGCCCGCAGCUUUCCCUAAACAAUAAAUCACCUUUUGUGGUCCAAGAUGGCGGACUAUCUGUCCAGGGCAUGCAGACUCCAGCUAACCACAGCCAUGGAGAACCUGGUGGAGCUCGCACGUAAAGGAGAAGAGAUUGCUCAUCUGAAAGUGAAGCUGCAGCGAGUUGAGCUGAAGCUCAAAGACAUGUCAGCACAAAGUGCAACUGACACGAGCUUUACACAGAUUUAUGAAACUUCACCAAAGUCAGAAGAACCUGCACCUGAAAAAUCCACUGACCCUGAAAUUGAUUUUGAAGUAACUGAUGACUGGUGUGUUCCUCUGGACUCUGAGAAUGUGGUCAAACAAGACAUUCCUUGCCCAAGUGUUCGACUAAAACAAUUUUCUAUUCCUCUGUGGCCCAUUUCUUUACAGCAUGAG